rnacentral:rRNA from 1 species
AGGACGAACGCUGGCGGCGUGCUUAACACAUGCAAGUCGAGCGGAAAGGCCCUUCGGGGUACUCGAGCGGCGAACGGGUGAGUAACACGUGAGUAAUCUGCCCCUAGCUCUGGGAUAGCUCCGGGAAAACCGGGAUUAAUACCAGAUACGACCACUUUAGACAUCUGUUGUGGUGGAAAGAAUUUUGGCUAGGGAUGAGCUCGCGGCCUAUCAGCUUGUUGGUGAGGUAACGGCUCACCAAGGCGACGACGGGUAGCCGGCCUGAGAGGGCGACCGGCCACACUGGGACUGAGACGCGGCCCAGACUCCUACGGGAGGCAGCAGUGGGGAAUAUUGCGCAAUGGGCGAAAGCCUGACGCAGCGACGCCGCGUGGGGGAUGAAGGCCUUCGGGUUGUAACCCUUUCAGCAGGACGAAGCGAAGUGACGGUACCUGCAGAAGAAGCGCCGGCUAACUACGUGCCAGCAGCCGC